AACGAACGCUAGCGGGAGGCUUAACACAUGCAAGUCGUGGGGCGGCAUUUGGUAGCAAUACUGAGAUGGCGACCGGCGCACGGGUGAGUAACGCGUAUGCAACCUACCCAGUACAGGGGGAUAGCCCGGAGAAAUUCGGAUUAAUACCCCAUAAUGAUAUAAAGAGGCAUCUUUUUAUAUUUAAAGCUUCGGCGGUACUGGAUGGGCAUGCGUAAGAUUAGCUAGUUGGUAGGGUAACGGCCUACCAAGGCUCCGAUCUUUAGGGGUCCUGAGAGGGUGAUCCCCCACACUGGUACUGAGACACGGACCAGACUCCUACGGGAGGCAGCAGUGAGGAAUAUUGGUCAAUAGGCGCAAGCCUGAACCAGCCAUCCCGCGUGAAGGAAGAAAGCGCUAUGCGUUGUAAACUUCUUUUCCGGAGGAAUAAAAUCUUGUACGUGUACAGGACUGAAGGUACUCCGGGAAUAAGCAUCGGCUAACUCCGUGCCAGCCGCCGCCGUAAAAC
rnacentral:rRNA from 1 species